rnacentral:rRNA from 1 species
AGUGAACGCUGGCGGUAGGCCUAACACAUGCAAGUCGAACGGCAGCACAGUAAGAGCUUGCUCUUACGGGUGGCGAGUGGCGGACGGGUGAGGAAUACAUCGGAAUCUACUUUUUCGUGGGGGAUAACGUAGGGAAACUUACGCUAAUACCGCAUACGACCUACGGGUGAAAGCAGGGGAUCUUCGGACCUUGCGCGAUUGAAUGAGCCGAUGUCGGAUUAGCUAGUUGGCGGGGUAAAGGCCCACCAAGGCGACGAUCCGUAGCUGGUCUGAGAGGAUGAUCAGCCACACUGGAGCUGAGACACGGUCCAGACGCCUACGGGAGGCAGCAGUGGGGAAUAUUGGACAAUGGGCGCAAGCCUGAUCCAGCCAUACCGCGUGGGUGAAGAAGGCCUUCGGGUUGUAAAGCCCUUUUGUUGGGAAAGAAAAGCAGCAGGUUAAUACCCCGCUGUUCUGACGGUACCCAAAGAAUAAGCACCGGCUAACUUCGU